GUAUAGGCAAUGCCAACUUCCUUUUUAGGUGGUCUUACCACCCAUUUUAAACCCCUACUUUCCAAGAUUCAUCAAGUCAUCAUUAUUAAAACUAGUAGCAUUUUUUUUUCUAAUAGACACUUUGAUUCACAUAAGAUUCUUAGACUUGGUUGAUUGGGAACACUGAAAUACUGUGACACUUAUGCAAGGAAAUUUUUCUAAUAAAAUAUUAUUUUUCAUGUGUUUUAAACUUUUUGUUUGUUUUGUCUAAGAUAGGAGUUUCCUAUUUAUUUAUUUAUUUAAAAAAUAUUUUAUUUAUUUAUUCAUGAGAGACACACACAGAGAAAGGCAGAGACAUCGGCAGAGGGAGAAGUAGGCUCCAGGCGGGGAGCCUGACGUGGGACUUGAUCCCCGGUCUCCAGGAUCAUGCCCUGAGCUGAAGGUGGCACUAAACCGCUGAGCCACCCAGGCUGCCGGAGUUUCCUAAUUUAGCUCACUUUAGGGACAUGUCUUUUUUUUUUUCAUGUUACAAAAACAACUAGCUUUAAGGUUUAUUUUUGUAACUAUUUUUUUAAACAGAGAAAAACGACACACUCCUUGGGGGAAGGUGAGGGAUUGAGAAGACAGGUCCCUGGGUAAAAAUAAUCACGAUAGCCCUGGAGUUGAUAGGCCUGCCUAGGAGAGACACGGGCACUGCCACACCAGCACAGGGGACAGCUACUGUCUGAGGCUCAGCAGACCAGUUCACACGCCACGCAAAGCUGCUAUAGAUCCAAGUCAUAAAAAUCUUCUAGCUCAUCAUGAAACAAGUCCCACUCGUCUUCAGAGUCUGUCAGGUCGUCGUCCCCACCUGCAACCAAAAGCAUAAGCAACAUCUCACCCAGCUCAAAGGUGACAACCUCCUCUACUUCGUUGUCAAAGGGGUUGCUGUUCUCUCUUUCCUCAAUGAGCUCCCAGAAGUGGUUCCUUUGUUGGGCCCGGUAUCUGCUUGAUGUUCCCACUUUCUGUCUCUGUGGCUCCUCUCUACGGCCAUCAGGGUACCAUGCUUGUAAAAACAGUUCCCUCCAAAUGGGCAGCUCCCACGUCCUUCAUCAAAAUACCUGCACGCCUUGUUGCUCAUUGCCUCCUUGUAUUUCUGAAUGAGUUUCUGCUUCUCUUCUUUCUCCUCCACCCAGUACUCACUUGGAAUGACAAAGUUAGAUGUGAUCCGGCAUUCGGGGCAGGACUUUUAUAUGUUGUGAUCUCUGGGCGGCACGCAUUGGAUGGAGGACCUGCAGCCCACACAUGUCACACGAGUCUCCGUGGAGAUACACACAGUUCUCCCCAUACCGGCACUCUCCCACUGCAGCAUAGGGGCAAAGCUGCUUCUUGGUUUCCACUGCUGUCUGUUCUUUCUCUGAUUCUUCCUUGGUCACAGAGCCCUGUGGGGGCGCUUCAGUGCAGGAAGGGGCAGUACGGCCACAGUAGGGCUGCCCGGGAACAAACUCAAUGGCAUUCACCCAGUCUUCUGAACCUGCGCCGACAGUAGCAAAGUUUGAAUUUCUGGACUCUGCUUCACCCGUAUUCAUUUCAACAACUGGUCCAACUCCCGAUGAGAGACUUGAGGAAGCAGCAAGAGAUGAUUUUGCAGUUAGAUCUGCAGCAGUCACUUCUUCAUGUUUCAAUAGCUUGCUAUGUUCAUAUCUGCAGCGGUCUCCGUAAAUACAGUAGCCUCGCUGAAAAUACUUGCACACUACACCAUAAGGACUGUCAGAGAGGUCAUGCGAGUAGCGACAAUUAUCUCCUUCUUUACAAACCCCGUGCAUGAAAUACCUUAGCUCCUAGUUUUUCUUCUUGCUUUUGGUAUGGGUUGAAGUGGUGGACUCAGAGCUGAUGGCCAAGAAAGAAUUCUUAAGAGGUCUUCAGUUCAAAAAAGGUGGUUUUACCAAAAUAAAGGGACUGGGUUCCUGGGCUGAAAGAGCUGCCGGCACUUGUCUUUGAAAUCAUAACUGUAGAGGCGAUGCUUAUCCUCCUUGGCAUAUACAUC
rnacentral:lncRNA from 1 species